ACUCAAUAGCUCGAUCCGAUCCAAGCACAUGAGUUGACUGCGGCGCCAGGUUAACCAAUGUGCUAGAUUCUAUUUGGCCAGUAGAAUCUUGUGUCUUACGCGAUUUGAUACCAAGACACCAGAACGAAAGUUAGUUGAAGAGUGAUUAAACUCUUAUGAAGAAUGGUUGUGCAAUCACAACUUAUGACUUUAACCUAUAAAGUGGAUAUGGACUAUCAAUUAUAACAUGGGGCACACACCAUGUUCUCGAUCCAAUCCACGCACACGAGUUGCCUGAGUAGCGACAGGUAUACCGAUGUGCAAUACGUAUCCGGCCAUAGGCACGGAACGAACAGGAACUGUGGUGCAGACAUACAAGGGCCAUGGGGCGGUACGCAAAGGAUACGGAUGAGCGAGUAUGCAGGCCCAAUACUCAAUAGCUCGAUCCGAUCCAAGCACAUGAGUUGACUGCGGCGUCAGGUUAACCAAUGUGCUAGAUUCUAUUUGGCCAGUAGAAUCUUGUGUCUUAUGCGAUUUGAUACCAAGACACCAGAACGAAAGUUAGUUGAAGAGUUAUUAAACUCUUAUGAAGUAUGGUUGUGCAAUCACAACUUAUGACUUUAACCUAUAAAGUGGAUAUGGACUUGCAAUUAUAACAUGGAAUCUCUACACACCCCAUGAGCUCGAUCCAAUCCACGCACACGAGUUGCCUGAGUAGCGACAGGUAUACCGAUGUGCAAUACGUAUCCGGCCACGGCACGGAACGAACGGGAACUGUGGUGCAGACAUACAAAGAGUUAAGCCUACUAGUCAUUAACUCUAAGGACGGGGCCAUGGGGCGGUACGCAAAGGAUACGGAUGAGCGAGUAUGCAGGCCCAAUACUCAAUAGCUCGAUCCGAUCCAAGCACAUGAGUUGACUGCGGCGCCAGGUUAACCAAUGUGCUAGAUUCUAUUUGGCCAGUAGAAUCUUGUGUCUUACGCGAUUUGAUACCAAGACACCAGAACGAAAGUUAGUUGAAGAGUGAUUAAACUCUUAUGAAGAAUGGUUGUGCAAUCACAACUUAUGACUUUAACCUAUAAAGUGGAUAUGGACUAUCAAUUAUAACAUGGGGCACACACCAUGUUCUCGAUCCAAUCCACGCACACGAGUUGCCUGAGUAGCGACAGGUAUACCGAUGUGCAAUACGUAUCCGGCCAUAGGCACGGAACGAACAGGAACUGUGGUGCAGACAUACAAGGGCCAUGGGGCGGUACGCAAAGGAUACGGAUGAGCGAGUAUGCAGGCCCAAUACUCAAUAGCUCGAUCCGAUCCAAGCACAUGAGUUGACUGCGGCGCCAGGUUAACCAAUGUGCUAGAUUCUAUUUGGCCAGUAGAAUCUUGUGUCUUAUGCGAUUUGAUACCAAGACACCAGAACGAAAGUUAGUUGAAGAGUUAUUAAACUCUUAUGAAGUAUGGUUGUGCAAUCACAACUUAUGACUUUAACCUAUAAAGUGGAUAUGGACUUGCAAUUAUAACAUGGAAUCUCUACACACCCCAUGAGCUCGAUCCAAUCCACGCACACGAGUUGCCUGAGUAGCGACAGGUAUACCGAUGUGCAAUACGUAUCCGGCCACGGCACGGAACGAACGGGAACUGUGGUGCAGACAUACAAAGAGUUAAGCCUACUAGUCAUUAACUCUAAGGACGGGGCCAUGGGGCGGUACGCAAAGGAUACGGAUGAGCGAGUAUGCAGGCCCAAUACUCAAUAGCUCGAUCCGAUCCAAGCACAUGAGUUGACUGCGGCGCCAGGUUAACCAAUGUGCUAGAUUCUAUUUGGCCAGUAGAAUCUUGUGUCUUACGCGAUUUGAUACCAAGACACCAGAACGAAAGUUAGUUGAAGAGUUAUUAAACUCUUAUGAAGUAUGGUUGUGCAAUCACAACUUAUGACUUUAACCUAUAAAGUGGAUAUGGACUUGCAAUUAUAACAUGGAAUCUCUACACACCCCAUGAGCUCGAUCCAAUCCACGCACACGAGUUGCCUGAGUAGCGACAGGUAUACCGAUGUGCAAUACGUAUCCGGCCACGGCACGGAACGAACGGGAACUGUGGUGCAGACAUACAAAGAGUUAAGCCUACUAGUCAUUAACUCUAAGGACGGGGCCAUGGGGCGGUACGCAAAGGAUACGGAU